UACAGAGGGUGCGAGCGUUAAUCGGAAUUACUGGGCGUAAAGCGUGCGUAGACGGUUUCGUAAGUCGGGUGUGAAAGCCCCGGGCUCAACCUGGGAAUUGCGUUCGAUACUGGAUAGCUAGAGUUCGGCAGAGGGAAGCGGAAUUUCUGGUGUAGCGGUGAAAUGCGUAGAUAUCAGAAGGAACAUCAGUGGCGAAAGCGGCUUCCUGGACCAGAACUGACGAUCAGGCACGAAAGCGUGGGGAGCAAACAGG
rnacentral:rRNA from 1 species